AACAGUUUUAAUUAACAUUAUCAUUUUGAUUAUUUUUAUAAAGCAUUAGAAGUUCCGUCUAAAAAUCCUAAGACGCCAGUAUUAAUCGACUUUUUAAAUCAAGUGAGCACUAAUGAAGAAUCAGUUCCGUCAGAAAACAUUAGGACGCCAAAAAUAGACAUUUUUCAACAAGUGAGCAGUGAUAAAGAAAUAGAAGAUCAGUCUGAAAAUUUUAAGACGUCAGAAUUAAUCGAUUUUUUAAAACAAGGAUUGAAUCCUGACGUGUCACCAGAAGAAAUUUUAGAACCAAUGGACAUUGACAAAAAAAAUAUAACUGAGUAUAAUUUUUUAUAAGUUAACAUAACUCAUAUAGUUAAUAAAAAUAUUAAUGAGAAAUGUUUUAUUUUUUCUUAUUUAUAUUUAUCAAGUUAAAAAUUAAAUUAAAUUUUUAUUUCUGUA